GACAAAACAAGGAAAUAACCAACGACCCAAAGUCCACACUGCAAAACUUCUGUAAGUCUAUUAACGUAAAACAUACUCCAAAGUUUCUAAAACUAAACAAAACCAUCGAUAUCUCUCAACCAUCUCUCUCAACGCCCGAAAUUUGUUGGAGCAAAAAACAAUGUUGCCGUUCGUUCAAGUUUACAAGAAUCUUAUAUUCCAAACCUUACUCUCUUUGUCACUCACUCUAAUCCUCACAUUCCUUAAAAUCCCAAUUUUGUUUCUCCAAGGUCUCCACACUUACAUCCACCCUGAAAACAUUGGCCACGGCAACAACGCCUCCUCUGGUGUUAGAGCUGCUAUUCGUAGACCUUCCAGCUCAGAUUCAGGUCCUGGACUGGAUGGUUAUCAAUCUUUGUCAUCAAGGACCACCGCGGAGCUCAAGAAGAGGAACAAAUCUAAAGAGAAGUUUGAGUUCGAUGAAAACAAUGCCCAGAUCUUCAGGCUGAAACUCGACGAGGGUCAUCUUCAAACGAGGCUUUUUUUCAAUGAGUAUCAUAGUUCUUUUGUUUUUUCCUGUGUGGGUAUUUCCUGUUUGUUGCUUUACAAGUAUUUAGGUAAGUCUGAGGGUUCUGGGAAUUUGGCAAAUGGGAAUUUAAUUCCGGUUGUUUUUGGAUUUAUUGGUUUGACCAAAGUUUUUUUAGCACUUGCAAAGAUAUCGUUUGAGAAAUCUGCUUCUAAGAGGUCGGAGAAGCAAUUUAGUGCAAUUUUAGGCGUUGUGGGUUUUCUUAUAGGGAUUAUGAUUUGUUCUGAAAUUGGACCAGCGGUUUUUGAUUUCCAUUUCGAUUCACUUGAAGUGUCUUGGAGGAUUUUUGUUUCUGUUUUAAUGGGAUUCCUUGCUGGUUUUUUGUAUAUGCCUGCCGGGAAGAAUGCACGGUCCUUUUGGCUUGGGACUGAUCAGCUUAGAUGUAAUUUGUCCAUAAUUUCUUGUGGAUGGUUUGCUAGAAUGAUUUUAUUUGCCAAUUAUUUGUUAACUAUGUUCACAGCUUUACUUUGGAUUAGUCCAUUAACUGAAAUUCUUGUUAACAAGAAUAGUUGUGAUGGCAGAGGAGCUGCUGAGAAGUUGGUUGGAAAUGUGGGUUUUUCAAAUUUGGAGUUUACCAGGCUUAGGGUUUUCUGCUUACUGCUUUCCGGAGUCCUGCAAAUUGUGGCUUUACGUUCAAACUUGCAGAUGUUUUUGAAUGAAGCAGUUUUGUCUUGGUAUCAAAGGUUACAUGCCAGCAAGGUCCCAGAUUUGGAUUUUAGUCGUGCAAAGGUUUUUUUGCACAAUCACUACUUAUGUCUUGCAGUUUUGCAAUUCUUUGCACCACCAGUAUUGAAGUGGCUUUGUUGAUGGCUUGGUGGAUCAUACUUCUGUGGACAGUUUUUACUUCAGCAAGUCUGGUGUUUUAUCAACGUGGUAUUUUAAAUAUGCAAGAGUAGGAUGAUGUGAACCAUAGUUGAAUUUUUUUUAUUUCACAUCUAUGACUCAUAAGAGAGACAUAAACUGCUGUCAGAAUGCAUAGCUGGACGAUUCCAUCGGUUAUUUACUGAACAACAAAGCUGCUACCAGGUGAUAUAUUUGUUAGUGUUAUAAAUUAUUGUCAUUAUGAACAAAGCGAUGUAAUUUCCUAGCAUUAUUGUCAUCAUUAUUUUCACUCUAUUCUAUUUUGUGGAGUUUAAGGACCACAUGUUGCUCUCAUAAGGUUAAUUUUUCCCAUGCCAUGCUACAGAACUUAAUCCUAUCAUUAAGCUGGCAUGUGAUGUACCAACUGUAAUUGAUGAAGUUUUUACUACCAUUUAAGUGCUCUAAUUUUGGAUGAAUGGUUUUAGAUUAUAUAGGAAUACUAAAGUUUAUGUACUUAUGUUUCUUUGACUUUUGGUGUACCUGUUACAUGUUUGGAGUAAUGGUUUUGAAUUUAUGCUCUGUUAGUUGCUGAAAACAACUUCAAAUGCAAUUCUCUUCUUUCAAUUGAGUGGAAGUGGCUGCUGUAAUUGUGCAUACUACCCGUCACUCUAAUUUAUAUGCAAUCACAAUUGUGGCAGUAUAGUUGAUUUAGACUCGGUGCACCAGCUUCAUACUUUUUAUCGGAGGAUGAUUUUUAUCAUAGUCAACACGCAUGGAGCUUGUCUUGUAUGUGUGGUAGUAAUUGCAAUUUCCUGCCUUGACCUGUCAGGAAAAUUUUGAAGAACAAUGAUGGAUGAGUCUUAGAGGAAGCUUGGACACUGAAACAAUGCUUAAAUUUUAAGAUCUUUGAACACAAUGUUUAAUCAUAAUAUUUAAGAUCUGGAGCUCUUGUGAUCUUUAUUGCUAGUUAAUGUAACAGAAAAUAUUUGUUUUUCAUCUCAAGUGAUAUGCAGACACUGCUGCAUUGAACUAGUUUAUAGGAAGUAAAAUUUUGGUGGUUUUGAGUUUCAUCGAGAAAAGCUUGUUAGUGCUUUCUGUUGGAUGGUCUGUCAGACACAUAACCGUAUGGUUCAAGUUUGCUGAGAAUUUGGUUGAUAUUCGGCCCAUCCACUUCUAGGAAUCUAGGUGUGCAUAAUCAUCCAUUUAGAAUAAGAAUUGAUUUGUGUAAAUCUAUUUGAUGUUGUUAUCAAAAUGGUUUGCUAGAGUCUGUUAGUAGGUCCUUUGCCGGUUUCGUGGUUAGCAUCGAAAAGCUGAUUGUUAAUCAACCAAGGUGCUAUCUGCAACUGAAGAUCUUUUGUGGACAAACUAGUAAAACUGAUUUCAAUCAAUGCUAAUGCAUGUUGCAGGUUCAACCGUCCAGAUGCUACAUAAAAUCCUUUUUCAUUCAAAUGCUGUCUGGUGUAUUCCUGAAAGGGCUUUUUCUGAUUCUGAAUCUGAAUUCUGGAUCAAACGGUAUGGGUGGGAUGAAAUCUUUACUUUAGAUUUGGUGUCAUUGCACAUUUUCAGUCCUCUGAUUUGUGCUCUUUUCUUAGGUUAUUAAAUUUUGUUCUUAUUUAUAACUUAUGACACCUGGUUCACCUGAAUUUUUAUCCAUUGAUAAAAGAUAUGAAAUAAAUGCUUGCUAGUCCAUUAGU